GUCGUAUUACAGUGAAACAUCGAUUCUCGUACGAUCACCGAAUUUAAGCAACGCCGAACCUGGAGAGUACCUUGAUGGGUGACCGCUUGGGAAUACCAGAAGCUGUAAG